rnacentral:rRNA from 1 species
AUGAUGUGGAUUAUUCGAUGCAACGACGAAAACCUUACCUACCCUUGACAUGUCCGGAAUCCCGAAGAGAUUUGGGAGUGCUCGCAAGAGAACCGGAACACAGGUGCUGCAGUGGCUGUCGUCAGCUCGUGUCGUGAGAUUGGUUAGGGUUAACGUCCCGCAACGAGCGCAACCCUUGUCAUUAGUUGCCAUCAUUUGGUUGGGCACUCUAAUGAGACUGCCGGUGACAAACCGGAGGAAGGUGGGGAUGACGUCAAGUCCUCAUGGCCCUUAUGGGUAGGGCUUCACACGUCAUACAAUGGUCGGUACAGAGGGUUGCCAAGCCGCGAGGCGGAGCCAAUCCCACAAAGCCGAUCGUAGUCCGGAUUGUUCUCUGCAACUCGAGAGCAUGAAGUCGGAAUCGCUAGUAAUCGCGGAUCAGCACGCCGCGGUGAAUACGUUCCCGGGCCUU